rnacentral:rRNA from 1 species
AGAGAUGUGUGAUGACGCAUAUCAAUAAGCGGAGGAAAAGAAACUAACAAGGAUUCCCUUAGUAACGGCGAGUGAAGCGGGAAGAGCUCAAAUUUGAAAUCUUCAAGGUUCUACCUUGACGAAUUGUAGUUUAUAGAAGUGUUUUCUGUUAGUGGAGUGGCAAAAGUUCUUUGGAAUAGGACAUCAUAGAGGGUGAGAAUCCUGUAUUUGGUCAUUCCUCCUAGCGUUGUGAUACACUUUCAACGAGUCGGAUUGUUUGGGAAUGCAGUCCAAAAUGGGUGGUAAAUUUCAUCUAAAGCUAAAUAUUGGCGAGAGACCGAUAGCGAACAAGUACCGUGAGGGAAAGAUGAAAAGAACUUUGAAAAGAGAGUUAAACAGUACGUGAAAUUGUCAAAAGGGAAGCGUUUGACACCAGUGUUGUUUUCUCGAAAAUCAAUUAAAAAUAACUUUGAUUUUGUGUUGUAUUGACCUUAAAAGCUUUCUUCACUCUUUUCUUGUCUUUUUAAUGCACUUUUCGUUUAACAAGUCAACAUCAAUUUCUUUUGUUGUAAAAGGGUCAUUGAGGAAGGUGGCUUUCUUUUCGGAGAAAGUGUUUAUAGCCUUUGAUCUCUGCAACCGGAGAGACUGAGGUCUGCAGCGUAGACUCUUCGGGGUUAAAUACAUUUGUGCUAAGCUAUAGCUUUUUAUAGACAACUUGUUGACUAUAUUUAGUCUUGUGGCUUACUCGCUUAUGCUAUUUUACCUACGCUUAGGAUGUUGAGUAGCGACAUACGCAC